rnacentral:lncRNA from 1 species
GGAGAACUCUGAGGCGGGCAGGGAAUCACUCUUGACCUUCUCCUUUGUUCCCUUCCCAGAAGAGGACUCUGUCUAACAUGGAAUCCUUCCUAGAAUUUUAGAAAAGGGUAAACUUAGAAGAUGUUCCUUCUCACAGGAAGACAGUAAGAGAAUCUGCUGUCACCACUUCUGCCCUGGUGACUUCAAUGCCUGUGACAACAGUGGCUGGGACUGCCUCUUCCCUCCCCCCUCAUUUUGUGGAAGAGCAAUGACAUAGGCACUUGGAGUUUCUGGAACUAGUUUUCUGGACUGCCUCACCUCCCGGCAAGGUAUGAUAGACCCAACCUGAUCUUUUCUUAAAAUUGGGCAUCUCGCCACAAAACCAUGAAAAGCUAAUUUGGCUUUACUAUAAAUUACUGCAAAUUCUGAACCUGCUUGGAAUGCCUGCCCGUGCCUUGAACUCACCCAUGCCUGGCUCUCUGACCAGAUAGCAGCCCUCUCUGAAACUUAGUGACACCUCAUAAAUAUUGGCCUUCCCUGGCCAGACAACGACCCUCUCUGAGGCUCUAAUGGUCCUCAUAAAUUCUGAUGUUGGGUCCAGCAAAAAUGUAAACUACCAUUAGUGUGAUGCUUGUCAGAGUUCUGUUAUCUGUAACCCCCCUUUGUGUAACUUUCUGGGCUAUAAAGCUGGACUUCAGAAAAGCUGGGGUGCUGUCUUGUUCCCGCCGUUUUGGGAGGGAGAGGCAGCCCGGCCGGUCGAAAUAAUAAGCUUGCGUUAAUUUGAUUUUAAUUGGAGUCAGUGGUCUUUUCUUGUGUCCUGGUCUAACAGGUCAUGGGUGUGUCCAGCGUGUUUCAAAGGUUAAUUUUCUCCAAGGUUCCAUUUUAGCAGUCCAAAACUCCCCAGGAAACAAAGCUCUCUCUUCUGCAAUGCAGAGCUCUGACUGCGUCAUCUCUGUGGGUUUUUUCCAGCCGUAGGAGGAGCCCAAGUUUGCUCAGCUGCCUCAGCAGCUCACAUAGUUCCAGAAAUUGGCUCUGGGUGCGGGUGAGAUGGAGGUGGUGUGGGGGAGGGGGAAGGGAACUGCAAAUUCCAAGUCUUCAGCAAGGAAGUUGUUUUUCUUGAGGCUCUCCUUGCUUUUACAUAAAGAUUACAGGACUGCAUUAAAAUCAGGACUGGGUCCAAUGAGGGUGGACUGGCCCAGACUAGCCUCAGUGAAGGACUGCAGAAGCUUCUGUGAAGAGCAGUCAGAAUUACUGACACCUAAAGCUUGAUCCUUGACCUGAUGCCAAUCCAAUAACUAGGACAAAGUUUUGAAAAAAAGGAAAAACAAGUUUUACUGCUUUGCUAGCAAAGGGGAAUAACAGAGGACUCCUGUCCCGGAGGCUGGGAUUCUCACUGCGGGAGUGGGGGGUGGAGGGAGGAAACAGUGGGCUUUUAAAGAGGGGAUACAAAGGCUUCACUCCAGCUGGGCCCAGGGCAGGAGUCAUCUGUGAAGUGGCACCCCUUUCUCCACAGAAAAGUCUUACCUGGGCUUCUCCAGAAAUCUUCAUCAUGGCUGAUUUUAGGACUGUCAGCAAGAGAGUCUCUGCAAAGGAGUUCAAUGUAGAAAACUUCUUAUUUUCUGUUGCCCUGCUUUUUACUUGGCCACUGGCCAGGAAGACACCAGCACUCCAGGUGCAGGGCACUUUCAUACAUUUUUCAUAAAUGUAUCCAGUAUAGUAGUUUGCAGAAAUGUGCAAACAAGGCCUCUGGCCUUGAGCUGAGCUUCAUUUUUAAGGUAAAUUACCAAUUGGGCUCCAUAGUAACAGCUGGCAGGGGGAGGAAAAAAAAGAGGAGAAGCAGCUCUCCCCUUCUCAGGUGUUGUCCUUGAAGGGUUAACUUGCCCAGAACAGUGAAAGAAAAGCUGCUUCUAUGUGAACUUCUGCAGACUGUGAACUUCUGAGCCCCUCCCCUUACCUGCUGGGUAUAAAACUCUGAAACUCCCUGAACUUGGGGUUCAGGGGAUUGAUUCAUUAUAGCAAAAGCUGUGCCCUCUGAACCUGGCUGCAGCCAAAUAAAACUGUUUCCUGCUAUCUUCCUUGCCUUGCCUCGUUUGUCCCUACAACAUCUGUAGCUUGAGGAAAGAACCAUUUCUUAGUUGGGAUAGGUGCUGGCCCUGAAGUUUGGAUUCCUUCAUUCCUGUGGUUCAUGUGCUGAAGGACAGAUAACAGCCUAGGACAGAAGAAGGUUCAUUUUGCAUCCUCCAUGGUUAAGGAAGGGGAGAGGGAGAAGAGGAGGCACAAAAAAGUCAGUUUUAAAAUAAACCAUGAUGGGGCUGGGGUUAUAGCUCAGUUGGUAAAUGCUUGCCUUGCAUGUACUAGGCCCUGAAUUCAAACCCCAGCACCAUAAAUAAAUAAAUAGAUAAACUGCGAUGAGCUGGGGUUGUUGCUCAGUGGUAGAGCGCUUGCCUCACAUGGGUGAGGCACAGGGUUUGAUCCUCAGCACCACAUAAAAAUAAAUAAAAUAAGUAUUUAAAAAAAAAAAAAACUGCAAUGGCAGAGCAGGUGUUACACAAAAGCAUUAGUGGAUUCCUGCUAUAUUGCUCACCAGGGAAGGGGUGGGUGGAUUCGGGAAUUCUCUGGAGGUUUCUGGACUGGUGUGAGUCCAGAGGCUGAGGUAGCAUACCUAGAGGCCUGACUCUAAAUUUUUGCUGUUUUACUGCUUUUCAGCACCAUAGCUCCUUGAAGCCACAGCCAGGAGGCCUAAAUUCUUCCACAUCUAUUCCUGCCCCUUUGUUUAUAAAAUAAGCAUCAUUGCUUCUUUGAUUUCAUACUAUCUUUUCACACAGGAGGAAGUUGCCACUCAGAAGUUAUUGGGUUUGUGCCCAAGGUCACAUGGCUGUUUAUCAGUGGAGUGACUGCCAGAAUAAGAAUCCAAGGCCUCCUAUUUUUAGCCUGGGCUGUUGGAGAGGAGCAUGAGGUGACUGGCUAAAAUGGACUGAUCCUCUUACAUUGGUGUCCUUAGGCCUAAAUGAAGACUAGGUUUGAGACUAAAGUGGAAGAUAAAUAAUAAGAUAUUAAAGUGCCAGUGGAAAAGCAGCUAUAGGACUUUAUGAAGUCAAAAGGAACAUGGAUGCCCAGAGAGAAAAGGUGCCUUAAAAAAACUCAGUGCUUCCUUGAAGGAUCCUUAGUUCCAAGAGAUGAGCAGAGGGUACACAACAUAAUCAGAUGGUUAUUAAUCUCCUCACCGAAGCACUUGGCCAUUGCAGGCUUUCUUCUUGUUGCUGUUAUUAUUGCAGUGCUGGGAAUCGAACCCAGGGCCUCCCGCCUACUAGGCAAGGGCUCUACCAACAGACUUUGUCCCCAGCCUAGGCUGUCCUGUUUAAAGAAAUUUUCCAGAAAAGAAGAACCUUGCUAGACAAAGAGGAGAAGUCAGGAUAUUCCGGAGAUAGCCAGAGUCUGUUUUGUGAAGAAAACAAAACCAAAAAACUAGGAAGAUGAAGGGAGUAAAUGUUUGGGUCCAAGCAGUAAAAACGGGGCUACUGUCCAUAAUGUUCUCUAAAAAUGUUAUUUUUCACUUACUGAUGAUUGGGGAUUAAGUUGGAAUCUUCUCCCCGGCCUUUGCCAAGCCAUUUCUUUAGGUACAAGAGCUUUCCAAGCACCAAGCUCCAUUUAAUCCUCUACUUCUUUCUACAACUCGGGAAUCAGCUAACCAAUAUGUUGCCACUCUUAACAGUAUAAGAAAAAUUCUGUAAUCUGUAAGGGAAAUAGAAAUGGUAAAUUUAAGAAUACUGACAAUUAUUUAAAGUUCCUUGGGGCCUUAACAUUCAUUUCAUGGGUCCAGAGCAGGCCUAGGCCCUCCCCCAGCCAUGGAAAAACCGCAAUAUUGGGGAGGGAGACAGGAGGUUUGGGGGAGGAAUAAAAGCAGCAGAAGGUCAUAAAUGAGGGAUUCAAGAACAGCUUCUGCUAGCUAAUUGUGUCUAAUUUUAAGCAAAUCAUCAACUCCCCAGGCUUCCAAAUCCCUAUCUGUAAAUUGCGGUGACCUGACUCAGUUUUCUUCCUGCCAGAGAUAAAAUUCUAUUUAAAAUUUUCCAAUUCCAGAGCAAGCAUCAAGACGGUGUCCAAAGGGAAACCAGCUGCAUCUCAGUAACAUUCCACUCUUAAGCCUUUAGAAAAAGAAGCAAAAAAGAUAAAUCAGGAACAGCUUUGACAGAGUCAAUGGACAAAACCUGCUGAAACUGGCCCUGCUUUAAGGGAGUUGGGAGAUGAAAGACGGGGGCUAACACAGGAGCCCCCCUGGCCAGCACCCCAUCCCUUCACAACCCCUACUGUCAUUUACAGGAGCCAAAGGGCUUUUGCUAAUAAAAACAUUUAAAAAUAAAACAAAGUAUCAAUUCACCCACUUUCUUUGUCAUUAUUCA